GUGUCAGCAGCCGCGGUAAUACGAGAGGCCCAAACGUUAUUCGGAAUCACUGGGCUUAAAGAGUUCGUAGGCGGCGCGGAAAGUGGGGUGUGAAAGCCCUCGGCUCAACCGAGGAAUUGCGCUCCAUACUCCCGUGCUAGAGGAGGCUAGAGGUAAGCAGAACUGAUGGUGGAGCGGUGAAAUGCGUUGAUAUCAUCAGGAAUACCGGAGGCGAAGGCGGCUUACUGGGACCUUUCUGACGCUGAGGAACGAAAGCUAGGGGAGCAAACGGGAUUAGAAACCCCCGUAGUCC
rnacentral:rRNA from 1 species